UGUCUCUGUGUCCCCAUGUGUCCCCGUGUCCCCAGAUCUCCCACCGGGCCGAGGAGUGUUUUGCCUUCAAGGCCCACCAGCGGUUCCAGGUUGGGCUCAUCCAGCCCGCGGCCGUCACCGUCUACAGCUACUACAAGAUCGACGACCGGUGCACGCGGUUCUACCACCCGGACAAGGAGGGCGGGAAGCUGAGCAAGAUCUGCCAGGGGGACGUGUGUCGCUGCGCCGAAGGUGACACGGGGACAGGGGGACAGAGGGACACGGGGGUGGGAUGGGACAGCAGCGCUGUGGUGAUGGGACAUGUCAUGGCUGUGAUG